CGCCGUUGCCGGCGACCGGCGCACGGGUGAGUAACACGUAUGCAACCUGGCCCGUGGCAGGGGGAUAAGCGGGGGAAACCCCGUCUAAUACCGCGUAACGCGGCCUUGGGGCAUCCCAAGGCCGCCAAAGGGAGCAAUCCCGGCCACGGAUGGGCAUGCGGCGCAUUAGCUAGUCGGCGGGGUAACGGCCCACCGAGGCGACGAUGCGUAGGGGUUCUGAGAGGAACGGCCCCCCACACUGGUACUGAGACACGGACCAGACUCCUACGGAAGGCAGCAG
rnacentral:rRNA from 1 species